ensembl:lncRNA
AUAAAAUUAAACCCUAACAUUUAAUAAGAGGCUAAUUUGAAGUGUUCAUGAUUGUGUAUUUUAAAGCUGACCCUGACGAGGACAACAGACCGUAUAGAGUGAUAGAAGCUGAAGCAUCUGUCUGAGUCUCAGUCCCUCCAGGAUCACAGAAAUUAACACAAAAAUCAAAGAAACUCCAUAAUAUUCAGAUUCAAUAUUCAGCUUGCAAUCUUAUAAAAAAUUAGCUCAGAUUCUCCGCAGAUUUGGGCCAAGACGCAUCAUGUGACAUGCACAAUGUGGAUUCAGCCAAAGCCCUCUUCCAUUCAUGUUGAACAUGAGUACAGCAAAAAGGUCUCAUUUACCAACAAACAUCACUGUGAAAGACAGACAAAUACAUCACUGCAAAACAAUUUCAUGCAAUUGCAAUUUUCCAAUUCAAGUAGUUUUCCACAAAAAUCAUCGAAAACUCUGCAAGUUGCAUAACAGUUUUUUGCAGCAAAAUCAACCAUUUAAAAAGAAAAAAAUGCCACAAAAUCGUGUAUGGACUAAUUUAAGCUUUACUUUGUAUUUUUGUUUUAGGUUAUAGGUUUUUUUUUUUAGGUAUAAGACUUUAUUUUUUAACUUAGGUGAUUCCUAGUCUUAAUGUAUGUAUUUGUAUUACUUGUAUGCAUUUAUUUUCAUUAUUUAAACUUUAUUUUGCAUUAUUUAUGUUUUUUAAGCUAAAUGACUUUUAAUUUGUUUAAAUUGAAUAUUAUUUUUGAUACUGUAGCCAGCAUUUACUCAAUGUAGCAUUUGCUCAGGGAUAAAUAUGCAGUAUGGGUUGAUGCAGUGUAAUAUUUGUAAUUAAAUAGAGUAAGACUAGUAAUAUUUUAUGAAGUAAAUACUUGGGCAGAUAAGUUUUGUUUAUAAUUAUUUUUCUAAAGGGACCGAAGUGUGCUUUUGUCUGAUACAUUUUUAAUAAAACAAUAAAGUCUGUUAUAAAAAAGGUUUCAGUUUUUACUAAAUAACCAGUGGGAAAAUUACUACAUCUACAUUAUUACAUAUAGAUUCAGAAAUCCUAAAGGCAUUUAAUACUAUUCUCACAUUCAGCACACAGUCA